UGCUAACUAACCCAACCGACCAUUUUAUGAU
rnacentral:piRNA from 1 species